GCAAGUCGAACGAAAUCUUCGGAUUUAGUGGCGCACGGGUGAGUAACAUGUGGGAAUCUACCUGAAGGUUCGGAAUGACUGCGGGAAACUGUAGCUAAUACUGGAUGUGUCUGCGAAGAGAAAGAUUUAUCGCCUUCAGAUGAGCCCGCACUAGAUUAGCUAGUUGGUGAGGUAAUUGCUCCACCAAGGCUACGAUCUAUAGCUGAUUUGAGAGGAUGAUCAGCCACACUGGGACUGAGACACGGCCCAGACUCCUACGGGAGGCAGCAGUAGGGAAUAUUGGACAAUGGGGGAAACCCUGAUCCAGCAAUGCCGCGUGAGUGAAGAAGGCCUUCGGGUUGUAAAACUCUUUCAUCAAUGAUGAUAAUGACAUUAGUUGAAGAAGAAGCUCCGGCUAACUUCGUGCCAGCAGCCGCGGUAAUACGAAGGGGGCUAGCGUUGUUCGGAAUCACUGGGCGUAAAGCGUAUGUAGGCGGAUCAAAAAGUUAGAUGUGAAAUCCCUGGGCUCAACCCAGGAACUGCAUUUAAAACUAAUGAUCUAGAAUUUGGUAAAGGUUAGUAGAAUUUCCAGUGUAGAGGUGAAAUUCGUAGAUAUUGGAAAGAAUACCAGAAGCGAAGGCGACUAACUAGGCCAUUUUUGACGCUGAGAUACGAAAGCGUGGGUAGCAAACAGGAUUAGAUACCCUGGUAGUCCACGCAGUAAACGAUGAGUGCUAGUCGCUGGGACAUUAGUUUCAGUGUCGAAGCUAACGCAUUAAGCACUCCGCCUGGGAAGUACGGUCGCAAGAUUAAAACUCAAAUAAAUUGACGGGGGCCCGCACAAGCGGUGGAGCAUGUGGUUUAAUUCGAAGCAACGCGAAGAACCUUACCA
rnacentral:rRNA from 1 species